rnacentral:rRNA from 1 species
CACGUAGGGUGCGAGCGUUGUCCGGAAUUAUUGGGCGUAAAGAGCUCGUAGGCGGUUUGUCGCGUCGGCCGUGAAAACCUGCAGCUUAACUGUGGGCUUGCGGUCGAUACGGGCAUCACUGGAGUUCGGCAGGGGAGACUGGAAUUCCUGGUGUAGCGGUGAAAUGCGCAGAUAUCAGGAGGAACACCGGUGGCGAAGGCGGGUCUCUGGGCCGAUACUGACGCUGAGGAGCGAAAGCGUGGGGAGCAAACAGG